UAGUUUAGUAAUUUAGAUAAAAUAUUUACCUUGAAAGUAAAAAAAAGAAAAAUUUCUCUAAACU
rnacentral:tRNA from 1 species